rnacentral:misc_RNA from 1 species
GAAAAUUCCAUCAGUGUGUUGUUUCGGUUUCCUUUUCAGUUUGUAAAAUCGCAUCGAACGGCACGGCUCGGGACGCGCGCGCAGUGAUCGGCAUCGGCAUCGGCAUCGGCAAUAGAGAAACAGAGUGGUGUGUCGGAAACGGUAGUGAGAACCGAGUCGAGUCCCCAAUAGAAAGCCCCUGUACCCGAAGAAGUAGGAGUCCGACACGGGCGGGGAGCGUGUGUAUAGUGUAGUGUAGUAGUGUAAUUCUCUCACCUAAUUUUUAGUUGUUGUUCCCAUUUUUCGAACAAAGUCCUGACUUGGUUUCGGAACGAAGAUAUAUAUUGGAGGAUAUACCAGCAGAGCGGAGUUAUGUUUUGCGGCAGAGCGCAUCGAGGAGGUCCAGGCCCCAGCGAAUAGCGCCAUGUCGUCCUACCGAAACCCAACCUAGUGAGUACUUCAACGUCUGAAGCGUAGCAUUGUCUACCAUGCUGUGGGUCUCCUAACAUCUAGUUGAUACGUUUUCAAGUGCACAUGAGGUAGAUCGAGAGCGGGAGAUCGAGUGACUGAGCCUUGGUUUCCAGUGGGAGGACCAUCGAGUGGUGGGUGUGAGGAAGGAACUGCAACUGAAUCGUGGGGAAAGAGGACCGAGGGAAAUAUUCAGCCAUGAAUCUGAUCAACAUGGACUCGGAGAAUCGGGUGGUGCUGAAUGUCGGUGGGAUACGGCACGAGACAUACAAGGCCACAUUGAAGAAGAUUCCAGCGACGCGACUGUCGCGUCUCACGGAAGCCCUGGCCAACUAUGAUCCGAUACUGAAUGAGUACUUCUUUGAUCGGCAUCCGGGCGUAUUCGCACAAGUGCUCAACUAUUACAGAACUGGCAAACUGCAUUAUCCCACAGAUGUGUGCGGACCGCUGUUUGAGGAGGAAUUGGAAUUCUGGGGUCUAGACUCGAAUCAGGUAGAGCCCUGCUGUUGGAUGACCUAUACACAGCAUCGCGACACACAGGAAACCCUAGCCGUAUUGGAUCGUCUGGAUCUGGAUACGGAAAAACCGUCCGAAGAGGAAUUGGCACGCAAAUUUGGCUUCGAAGAGGACUACUACAAAGGCACCCUAUCCUGGUGGCAGGAAAUGAAGCCGCGCAUUUGGUCCUUGUUCGAUGAGCCCUACAGUUCCAAUGCCGCCAAGACCAUUGGCGUUGUUUCGGUAUUUUUUAUAUGCAUUUCGAUAUUGUCAUUCUGCCUGAAAACCCAUCCCGAUAUGAGGGUACCAAUAGUGCAAAAGGUGACCGUUCGAACGGCGAACGGUAGCACGGCCUGGGUCCUGGACAAGCCACAAACCAAUGCGCAUAUAGCCUUUUUUUAUAUCGAAUGCGUUUGCAAUGCCUGGUUUACAUUUGAGAUAUUGGUACGCUUUAUCUCAUCGCCGAACAAAUGUGAAUUCAUCAAGUCAUCUGUUAACAUCAUAGACUAUAUAGCAACGCUUAGUUUUUAUAUUGAUCUUGUGCUUCAGCGAUUCGCAUCGCAUUUGGAGAACGCUGACAUACUGGAGUUCUUCUCGAUCAUACGCAUCAUGCGUCUGUUCAAGCUAACGCGUCACUCGUCCGGCCUGAAGAUCCUCAUCCAAACGUUCCGUGCCUCGGCGAAGGAGCUGACCCUGCUGGUGUUUUUCCUCGUCCUUGGUAUUGUGAUCUUCGCCAGCUUGGUGUACUAUGCCGAGCGCAUACAACCGAAUCCGCACAACGACUUCAACAGCAUACCGCUUGGCCUGUGGUGGGCUUUGGUGACAAUGACCACCGUGGGGUAUGGCGAUAUGGCGCCAAAAACAUACAUCGGCAUGUUCGUGGGCGCCCUGUGCGCCCUGGCCGGUGUACUAACCAUUGCACUGCCAGUGCCCGUUAUAGUUAGCAACUUUGCGAUGUACUAUUCGCAUACGCAGGCGCGCGCGAAACUGCCAAAGAAGCGUAGACGAGUGCUUCCCGUCGAACAGCCGCGACAAGCGCGAAUACCAGGGGCUCCUGGCGGUGUCAGUGGUUGUGGCACACCGGGCUCGGGGCCACAUUCGGGACCCAUGGGCUCUGGCGGCACUGGACCGCGUCGCAUGAACAAUAAAACCAAGGAUCUGGUCAGUCCCAAAUCAGAUGAAUAUACAACAAUGAUUGGCAAACCGCGAGAUGGCAAGAAGAGCAGGCUGCUCUAAGGCCACAGACACGAGCACCACAUCAAAGAACCACAAGAAACCACAGCAACACCAUCCAACAGAACCAGAACCAGAAACCGAAACCAGAAACCAGAAACCAGAUGAAGAACCAAACCCAAAAACCAAAACCAAACCCCAAACCCAAAACCGUUUGAAACUAUGAUUGAGAGAUGAUGAAGAAACUUUUCUAUAUAAGAAUUUGGCAAACUGAUCUAUGAGAAAACGCACUGAGACAAAGCGAGUGUAAGCCCCAAACUACUGGACUACUGGAUAGAGAGAAUCAGAAUCAGAGAUGAACAGAAAAUCGAGUGUUGCUCAACUCUUCGCAGGUCCACUGGGCGCCAGCAUCGUGGCGAUGAGUCCGCGUACGAUGCUCGAUUUGAAUCCGGCCUUGGCCAU